GUGAACGUUCAGGGGUAAUGAGAANCGSCGAAAGGUCGAAAGAGGAAAUUUCAUUCGCGUUUCGGCUGUCGAAGUUGGAUUUUUGUAUGACGGAUAACGUUUCGGCGUCGUUNGCUUCNUAUAUCCUUCGAGUCGAUGUCGAACGCGUGCACUUUUCCUCUAGUAGGACGUCGCGAUCCGUUGGGUGUCUGUCUAAGACUUGAGAUGGAGCCCGCGUAAUUCUAUUACGCGAACACUCGAUGUUCCGACAGACUCGCUCGACGGUAUACAAAUGGCGCGAGGCCGCUAUCUAAGUUAGCGUUCGGCCCGUAGCAAGCGCGUUUUGUGUUUGACGGCGAUCGGACCUAGUCUCGGUUCUGUCCCAAAACGACUGUUGGUUGCGGUGCUCUCGAACAGACCUCGAAUGAAACGCCGAUCAGCGACGCUCUAGAUUUGGGUACUUUCAGGACCCGUCUUGAAAC
rnacentral:rRNA from 1 species